CUAAGCAAACUAUUUUCUUUGGCCCUGUUUGUUUAGAAGGGAUUUGAUGGGUGAGAUUUCUGACAGUUUUUCCACAAAAUGUGUAAAAUAUGGGUAGUUUAGAUGCAAGGGGUGGGAGAACCAUGAGAUAAUUGUCAGGGACACAAAAAUCCUGUCGGAGUAGCAACCCCUUCUAUUUCUCAGUCCCACCAAAUUGGUGGAGUUCUUGUGGGAAAGAAGAGGGAAAGACAAUCUUGCUGGAGGCUCUGCCUCUUCUUCUUCAGUUCAGUUUCUUCUCACCUAGCAGAGGCAAGAAGGCUACGACCUUGGUGAAAGAACAAAUCGAGGUUUUCAUUUCUUGUGGAAAAGACGAUCUUGGUGCAAGACGAUGUCUCCAAUGGCUCUGCCUCUUCUUCUUCAACUUAGGUUCUUCUCUCCCAGCAAAGAUGUGAGAUAUGGAUGCUGUUGUAUAUCAACAAUGGAGAAGAACUAUAGCAAUAGUUGAUUGUAUGGUUGUUGUAGUAGCCAUACUUGUUAUAUUGGAUGAUGAUGAUUACGACGAGGAGGAAGAAGAAGCACCGCCUAGAGAUACCUACUUAACUCUAAGGACUUUUCUAGAAGACAUUGAAAUGAGCAAUACGAAACGUUUUGACAUGCUCCGAAUAAACAUAGAUAGUUUUCAUAGAUUCACGUUCUUGUUCAAAGCAUCUGGUAGGCUCCAUGAUACAACUCAUCGUAGGGUUAAAGAACAACUGGCUAUAUUUUUACAUACUAUUAUAUUUGAUGUUUGGAACCGCCUUACUAGAGGAUAUUGGAAGAAAUCAAGAGAGACUAUUAGUAGAUAUUUCAAUAUGGUUUUGGAUUA